UUGAACUCCUAACCUCAGAAGAUCUACCCACUUUGGCCUCCCAAAGUGCUGGGAUUACAGGCGUGAGCCACUACACCCAGUCUAGCUUGAUGAAUAUUUAAUUAGUUUUAUAUACUUGUGUAACCAUCACUCAGACCAUGACAUAGAACUUUCUUACCAUUCCAGAAGCUUCUCUUGGGUACCUUCCUGGUUAAAAGUGUCUCCAGGAGGUGUGCUACUAUUCUGAUACUUACCACCAUCAAUUAAUUUUGACUCUUCUUCAGUUUCAUACAAGUGGAAUUGUACAGUAUUUUCACUUUUGUGUCUGGUUUCUUUGUUCAACAUAAUGUCUAUGAGAUUCAUCCAUGUUGUCAUGUUAGUAGUUUUUUUUUUUUUUAGUUUACUUUGUAGUACUCCAUUUUAUGAAUAUACCAUGAUUUAUUUAUCUGUUCUCCUCUUGAGUGGUAAUGAGUGUUUCAAUAUACAAAUAACUGGGGAAUACUACACUCAAAGACCCCAUGAAAUACACAGACAUUUGUGACUGUAUCCAUAAUCAGUACAAAUGCAAAGUGAGAGGGGGAUGAUCUGCUAAUGCAUAUCAUGUUUUGCACUGUUGUUGGUGAUAUGAUUUACCAAAUAGUGACCAACUCCUGGUAAAAUUUAUCAUAAAAUAAAGUACAAUCUUUCUUCAAUUGACCCUGGAAAAUUCACUGGAUAUUAAAUGGUAUAAGAAUUCACUUGUUUUUAGAUGUAAAAUGGAGGAAGGUUCUAGGUUCACAUAACUUUUUCAACUACACAGAUAUCUUGUGGGAUAUGUAGGGCAUCUACUCACCCUGGUCCUCAACCAUGAAAUAUCACUGAGUGCCCUCUUAUCAUAGCACCAGCUAUCCUCACAGUUUUCCAAAAUAUCCUUGGGUGUGGUGCCACCUCUGCAGAAACCCUGAUUCUAACUCAGCUCUCUCAUUUUACAGAUGAAGGAAUCAUCCCUUUGGGGAGGGAAGAAUUACUGGAGAACAUAGGGAUUCAAACAUAAAGCCUGGACCAGGACCACAGACUUCUGACUCCUUAGGCUCAAUCCCAGUUGUAUCCACCACAGCAAUUGAAGCCAAGGAUUAGAGUCAGAUGAGACUCAGGAUUUAGAAGGCAAAACAAACAAACACACAAAUAAAAAGGGGAUUAAUUUUGGACCUUCAUGAAUGGUGCCAAAGUGAAAAAAAAAAGGAGCUGCCUGGCAAUGGUCGCAGGUGAAGGUAAUGGUGAAGAAGAUGCAGAUAUUGGCAAUUUGGAGCAUUCGAUGAACUAAUUACAACAUUAACCUAAAGACCAGUGCAACAGAAAAUGGGCGAAGACAUGGAGCAAGGGGCAGAAUGAUUCUUGAAGAUGCUGAGUAACUUCUGCUCAGCCACUUGGAUCUCCUUUGCCAAGGAGUGUCCUCCCUCUGGAACCCAAUACCAGCUCUUUCUUCUGGAUGGAAUCUUCUCUCAGCUCUUUUAAGAUUGAAGAAAGAGGAUUACUUUGCUUGCCUGUGAUUGGUUUCUGUAGAAGAGCAGAACGGAAGUACCUUCACCACUCUAUACCAAUGGCAUUUCUGAGUAGACAAGCUGAAAUUCAGUAAUGUCUCCAAGCAUCGUGGCUCUUCUCUCAAAAUGAACUUUGAGGCUGCUAACCCUGCAUGACGUGGCCUACAGGACACUCCACUCCCUCCCUGUUCUCUUCAAACAAGAGAAGUUGCACAAGCUGGAGGGGCAGCUGGAUCACAGUUUAUGCUGCCCCCAGGAUACAUCUUUCAUCCUAAUGGUGCUUAUUCAGCUGUGGGGAUGCAUUGGUAUCUAGCUGAUUUUUGAAAAAGUGCAAAAGUCCAUUUAAAUACACAACCAAAUCCUCCUUUUGAGAUAGGGGCCUUGUGUGGGGGUGGGGAGGAGAAGGAUGAGAAAAAUUUCCAUCUUAUUUUCUGAUAUUCUUUGCUUUGUGGGUGAAUACUUACAGAGGUGCCUGCAGGCGGUUUUCCAGAGCCCGUUUUUGAUCAAAGUCAAUAAAGCUCUUUCUCUAUGUAGGAAGGAAGCUCUCUUUUAGACUGCUUUCUUACUUUGUGCUUUCUUAUGUAGAUAAGUCAUCUAAAAUCACACAGCCACAGGUCCUUAUCUGUCAGGGCCUGGUAGCUAGUACUAGUGGCAUUUUUUUUAAUCCAAUAAACAUGAAUCAAGUUAUUUCGAUGGUGCCAGGCACUGAGACAGCUAUAAAUUAGGGAUAGAGGGAUUCAGAGGAAAAACAAACAGCUGCCUUUUCUAUUGGUGUGUGUGUUCCUACUAUGUGCCAGGUACAGUAACUUUUGUGUAAUAGUAAUGAGAUAAAGCAAUUUAAAAAUUAUUUCCAUUUUAUAGAAAUGUAGAAGUGGAAACUCUGAGAAGUGAAAUAAUUUGCCUAAGAUCAUUCAGGAGGGUAUUCAGUGUUUGAGCUGAGCUUUCUGAUAUUGGCCACUAGAGAGGAGUGGAAUAAAGAAGAAAGGGCACCUUGGGAAUAAUUAUUGGUAUAGCAAAAGCAGGGGGUGGUGAUGGGGAGAUGGGAGGGCCAGAUCAGGUUCUGCAAAGAGUUUUGUGCAUUGUCAUUUGAACCGUAAUGAGAGAGAAGGUUGGAUUGGGAGGAAAACUUGAUAACAUGAAGCAAGGUUUGGAAUACCAAGCUCUGCCAGUUGAAAUUCAUUCUUAAACACCUGGAUUUAUUCCUGUCAACAACUGUAAUAUAGAUUACUUAUAGGUGAGACUAAGUUAAUAAAGAUAAUCUGUCAAAUAAUCCAUCAGUGAUUUUUAUUGCAUUUCUCCAUUAUAAAACCAAUACAUACCCAUUAUAAACAUUUUUGGAGUGUCAAAAAAAAUAGAAAGAAAAAAAUUCUCAGUGCAGCUACUAUCCACCAUUUGGUCCCUUUCUUUUUAGUAUUUUUUUUCUUCCCUUCUAAAUGCUUGGGUUGUUUGGUUUACAUAAUUAUCAUUAUAUUGUAAAUAAAACUUAUUACCACUUUUCACUUACUAUUGUAACAUAUAAUUUUAUUUUACGUGCUAUAAAGUCUCUAAAACUUACAUUUCAUGGUUGUAAUCCACUCAUUGAAUAUACCACACUUAAUAUAAACACUUAAUAUAAACUCUAAAGUAGAGUUGGAUAUUUAGUUGUUUUGUACUUUUCACACCUGAUCAAUAACACUUUGAUGAAAAUGUGCUUCAAGAUUUUCUAAAAAUUCAAAUAAUUUCUAUAAGACGAUUUUCCGGGAGUGCUGCUACCAAAUGAAAGGUCACAUGUACUUUUCAGCUCUUCUGUCAUAAAACCAACUUAAGUGUUUUGUUUUUGUUUUUUGUUUUAGAGUACCAACAAUUUGUCUGGUUAUGUGCUAGACUGACUCAAGAAUCUCCAUUCUAGUGAGAUCGCUAAAAACAAUAUGAAAUAUCAUACAAUGUUGGUGAUGAGGAAUAUUACGAACCUGCGUCACAUGUCAUGAUGAAUCAGACUUUCUGCAUCACGUAUCAUGAUGAGUCAUGACUUUCAGAGCUGGAAGGACCCUCAGAAAAGAAUCCGGUCUUGGCCCAAGGCUGCAGUGGGCAAAGUAUUUUAGAGCAGGCAGCAAAGGCCAGUACAAAGCAUGUAUUGAGUAAAUGGCAGAGCAGUUUUCAGAUCUCUAAAAUCAUCACCUCUGGGUCAUUUCUAGCAUAAAAGUUCUAUGGUACCAAGACCAGCCCUCUGGCUUUAUCUGCUUAAAGCUGGAAUUCUUAGCAUUUGAUACAGCCCCAUUUACAGGAGCAUGGCAUACUCCCUCAAAUAAGUCAAUCAAUUAAGAGACAGUGUUCCAUCAGAAUUUCCAAUAGGAAGAAUUUGUUUUGCGCCAUGUUUGAUAGGUUUGUUUUCCCACAUAUCCCACUCCUAAUGUACCCGAAAAUUUAUCUACCUACUCAACAAAUAUUUCUCCCUCUUCAUACUUUCCAAACCUUUCUUGGGGAGAUCACAGCCUCCCUCUAUUCAGUUCUUAGUAAUCCAAUCAUAGUAUCCCAAUUAUGACCAAUAAGAUAUGAGGGGAAACCUGCUGGGAAGCUUUUGGGAAAAUUUUGUUCAUAAAAAGUUGUCACAUGGAAAAGAUAUCUUCUUUUGCUGAACAUUUUUGUGUCUGCACAUGGUGCCUGGAACUGCAGGAGCAACCUUGUGAUCUAGAAGACAGUUAGGAAAAUCUUUUGGGGAUUUCAUAGUAGAAUCAUGGGGGAAAAAACUGAGUUUCAAAUGAUGUCUUUGAGUUGAUAAAUUAUAUCUGAAGCCUCCCUGCAUUUCUUGUUAAGUGACAGAAUUAUUCCUCAUUGUUUACAUGAGUUGACAUUAAGCUUUCUAUUAUUUAAAGCUCAAAGCAUCUUUGCUGCUAUAAUAUAUAUGAAUGAAAUCCUCAAUCAUGGGGCCAGCUCAUCUAGUUUGCCAGGGUACUGCAUUAACAGUUUCUACUUUGGACAGGUGUGUGUUAAAAAAAAUGCUCAGCUUUGCUCUUAUCGCCUCAAGGAAAUCUUUCUCAUCCUUUGCCUAACCUUCACCUCCAUUUGAUUUGGAUGUUUCUCCUCUGAGCUUUCAUAAUAACAUCUUUGGUUUUAUUGUAUUAAUGUUGUUUCUGUCUUCUCACUAACUUUUGAGUUCUUUGAGGACAGCAACUGUUUUAGUCAUCUCAGUAGCUCCACUCUUAGAAUUCAAAAUGUAAAGCAAAAUAAAUAAGUUAUUCACCAAAUUGCUGUGACUCUUAUUUUUCAUUAAGGUAUUAAGUGGCGUGUUUGUGUGUGUGUCUGUGUGUGUGGGCAUGCACAUAUGUAUUCAUAUCAUUUUUGUUAGAAUUUGGUACCUUUACCCACUCAUAUGCCUGCUAUAUUUUCUUUUCCUAUCUCAUUCACAUGAGAUAAUAUCUCUCAUAAAUGUAAACCAAACCUAGUUGACAUGAAACUCCUAUGCCCCCAAGGAAGACUUAAAACUGCUUGAAGUAUCUUGUCUUGUGGGAAGGACAAUUUGAAGAGUGUGUGGGUCAUUGAAAGCAGGAUAGGGAUGCCUGUUCAUUCUGCUGAAAGACUUCUCAUUAUGCUAUUGGCCACAAGGUGUCCAUCUCUCAGUAAGAAGAAUGCAUAGCUUCUGAAGAGUGUGUCUGCUGCCACCCCCAGCUCAAGGGACUUUGAAAAGUUGUUUAAGGAUUGUGUAGGUGGCUUGAGACUCUAUCCAAAGGAAUAGCAAUGUGUGAUCUAUAAUAGUUAUUCAAUGACUAAGCUACCAGCAUCACAAGGCCUGCAGAUGACUAAUAAUUAUUCUCAUUCUACAGGGUAUGGUUUGCAAAACAAAGUAAGCCAGGCCUCUGCUCUUUUGUCCUGUGAGUCAUUCCUGUAAAAUGAGUACCCUGGGCUCCAGUGGUAAGGCUCAGAGAGCACCAGGAAUACUAGCUGGUAUUUUUCACUUUUCUCCCUGCCUUCUCUAUCCACCUAUCUCCCCUACAGUCCCAGUCCUUUUGAGGCCACACUUCCCCUUGAAAGCCUUGAGUGGAGGCUGUGCUGUGCUGGGGUUAAGAAUCCGACUUUGAAUUCUAACAUAGAGGCUCGCAUCUGGACUCCCUCAUUCCCAGAUGUGUGGCCUUGGGCAAAGGACUUAGCUUCUCUGAGCUCCAGUGAUUCUCAUUCUCAGAUGGAGAUAAUGAAGACAUGCUGGGCUGUAGCUUGCUGAAGGAUGAGAAACACAUGGAGCAGAGCUGAGUCAUCCCACUGGACCCAGCAGAAGCCUGAACUGAUCAGUGGACUGCAAGCCAUUUCUGAGCUAUUUGGGUGAUGAGCACAGAUGAGCAGAGUCAACCAGUCUAAUGGCCUAAAUGCAUGAACAAUAAAGGCUUAUUGUUGAAUGA